GUGCACCAGUCGCGAAAACUUUACAAUGCGAGCAAUCGUGAUAAGGAAACCCUGAGUGCCUGUCAAUGCAGGCUGUUCUGGUGUCUAACACACACCAGGAGAAAGGGCGGGGCAAGACCGGUGCCAGCCGCCGCGGUAAUACCGGCUGCUCGAGUGAUAGCCACUUUUACUGGGCUUAAAGCGUUCGUAGCUUGGUCGUUAAGUCUCUGGGGAAAUCUUUUGGCUCAACCAAAAGGCGUCUCAGGGAAACUGACGAUCUUGGAACCGGGAGAGGUAAGACGUACUUCGGGGGUAGGAGUGAAAUCUUGUAAUCCCCGAGGGACGACCGAUGGCGAAGGCAUCUUACCAGAACGGCUUCGACAGUGAGGGACGAAAGCUGGGGGAGCAAACCGGAUUAGAUACCCCCGUAGUCC
rnacentral:rRNA from 1 species